UACGAAGGGGGCAAGCGUUGUUCGGAAUUACUGGGCGUAAAGGGCGCGUAGGCGGCUUAUCAAGUCAGGCGUGAAAUUCCCGGGCUCAACCUGGGGGCUGCGCUUGAUACUGAUGAGCUUGAAUGCGGGAGAGGAUAGUGGAAUUCCCAGUGUAGAGGUGAAAUUCGUAGAUAUUGGGAAGAACACCGGUGGCGAAGGCGGCUCUCUGGACCGAGACUGACGCUGAGGCGCGAAAGCGUGGGGAGCAAACAGG
rnacentral:rRNA from 1 species